rnacentral:rRNA from 1 species
GACGUAGGGCGCGAGCGUUGUCCGGAUUUAUUGGGCGUAAAGAGCUCGUAGGCGGCUCGUUGCGUCGGCUGUGAAAACCCGCAGCUCAACUGUGGGCUUGCAGCUGAUACGGGCGGGCUGGGAUUCGGUAGGGGAGACUGGAAUUCCUGGUGUAGCGGUGAAAUGCGCAGAUAUCAGGAGGAACACCGGUGGCGAAGGCGGGUCUCUGGGCCGAUAUCGACGCUGAGGAGCGAAAGCGUGGUGAGCGAACAGG